UACGUAGGUGGCAAGCGUUAUCCGGAUUUACUGGGUGUAAAGGGCGUGUAGGCGGGUCUGCAAGUCAGAUGUGAAAUCUCAUGGCUCAACCAUGGAACUGCAUUUGAAACUGUAGAUCUUGAGUGAUGGAGAGGCAGGCGGAAUUCCGUGUGUAGCGGUGAAAUGCGUAGAUAUACGGAGGAACACCAGUGGCGAAGGCGGCCUGCUGGACAUUAACUGACGCUGAGGCGCGAAAGCGUGGGGAGCAAACAGG
rnacentral:rRNA from 1 species